CUUUCGUCGAGACGGUACCGAGAGAGGAAGCCCCGGCUAACUACGUGCCAGCAGCCGCGGUAAUACGUAGGGGGCAAGCGUUGUCCGGAAUCACUGGGCGUAAAGCGUGCGYAGGCGGUCGCGUGUGUCUGGGGUGAAAGUCCAGGGCUCAACCCUGGGAUUGCCUUGGAAACUGCGCGACUUGAGUAUUGGAGAGGCAAGGGGAAUUCCGCGUGUAGCGGUGGAAUGCGUAGAUAUGCGGAGGAAUACCAGUGGCGAAGGCGCCUUGCUGGACAGUGCCUGACGCUGAGGCACGAAAGCGUGGGGAGCAAACAGGAUUAGAUACCCUGGUAGUCCACGCCGUAAACGAUGAGUGCUAGGUGUUGGGGGGUACCACCUCC
rnacentral:rRNA from 1 species